CCUGACCAAAGGCCUGGCGGAACAACUCCGUCUUGUAGGCCCUGCGGAAAGAUGUCAAAUCCCACAGGGCCCUGAUCUCUUGUGGCAGAGUGUUCCACCUACUAGAGGAGGAGCCCCCCACUGUAUUAAGGAAAUGGGUGUAUGAGUCGCUGGUGGGUGGCAUAGUUCGCACCCAGGGAGUUUGGAGCUCAGAAUGACAGACACUUUGUGGUUUGCUUGGGCUUUGUCUGGAUGUGGGAAGAGGAGCCGUACACUGAGCCUUGUUCACAAGGUUGCGACAAGCGGCAGACCAGCCGUGCCGCAUCUGAAGGUGUGCACAUUCCCUUCAGCGCAGUCAGUUAUCUGCAAUAAGCAAGUCUUUUCUUGCGUGUAAAAGGAAAGAAUGCCUGUGAAUCAUUUGUCUCCCAGGAGGCCUCAGGAUUUAGCAGCUGGGUUCCAUUGCUUACAUGCAAAAUAUUUCUUUCUCUGUACAGGUGGGGGAAUCGGAGCCGAUGUUGAUCCCCAUCCGAAUGACUGUGAAAGGCUGCCCAAUCUUCUUGCAGAUGACAGGACCCAGCCAUCCCAUGCCAACGCCCGUAAUCAGGUUUGGGGCCCACAUCUCCGGAGGGGAUACAGUCUCGCGGUACGUCCGGCUCAACAACCCCACCCCCUUUGGUAAGUGAAGAGGAUGUUUGCCCUUUGUGAGAAGCAUUAUGGCAAAAGCAGGGGUCCUGUUUCCAACCCAGCACCGAGUGGGGCCCGAGUGGGGCCAGAGGCAGAGCAAUAAAUGUACAUUACCGUAUUAUUCGCUCUAUAAGACACACUUUUCCCCCUCCAAAAAUUAAGGGGAAAUGUGUGUGUGUCUUAUGGAGCGAAUGCAGGCUCCUUGGCUUCAGCGAUAGCAACCACAAAACCUCUGAAGCGCAGAGGGAGCACUCCCUCCGUGCUCCGGAGGCUUCGGGUUGCUUUCACUGAAGCCAGGAGAGCAAGACUCUCCUGGAUUCAGCGAAAGGAACCUGAAGCCCCUGGAGCGCAGCGGAAAGUCCCGCUGCACUCCGAAGGCUUUGGGUUGCCUUCACUGAAGCCUGGAGAGCGAGAGGGGUCAGUGUUCACCGACCCCUCUCGCUCUCCAGGCUUCAGGGAUAGCCGCCUGAAGCCGGAGGCUUCGGGUUGCUUCGCUGAAGCCAGGAGAGCGAGACGGAUCGGUGCACACCAAUCCCUCUUGUUCUCCUGGCUUUGCUUCGCUGGAGAGGCGCUGCACAGCUUUCCCUCUCUGCGCAGCGCCCCUUCAGCGAAGUGAGAGGAGAAAUGGAAGGGGCUCUGUUUCUCCUGCCGCUUCGCUGAAGGGGCGCUGAGCAGAGGGGGAGAUUUUUUUUUCUUGUUCUCCCCCUCUAAAACAAGGUGCAUCCUAUGGUCGGGCGUGUCCUAUAGAGUGAAAAAUACGGUGGUUCCUUUGCACAGCAGGCUGCUUUCUGCUGUGCAAAUAUUAAUGCACCCCUCUCUUUUCAUCCAACCAAGCAAGGAGCAUUAUCAGAGUCCAUGGACACUUUUCAGCAAAACACUUGGGCAAGGGAGGGGAGUUCCAGGCGCCAGGCAGACACCCAGAGCAGCUUAUAUUUGUCUCAUGGGCCUGAGUUUCCCCACUUCUGCAUUACAGUGUUUUUGUUGCUGCGACAAUGGCAAAGGCCCAGUAGCAACCAGUUCCAGUAGGAAGCUUUUGAGCAUCUUUCACUGAGCUCUCCUUGCCUUUGUGGGGAUACUGAAUGAGCUACAAUCCCGGCAGUUUUGGAAUUUCCAUGUUAACCAACAGCGGUUCAAGGCUCCAUGCUGUCCCAUAGGCUAAGGUUUUGUGGUGAAUGUCCCAAGGGCAUUUCUGUGGUCUCAGAACUUUCCCCUGCUCGCCUGCUUCCAAUGUUGUCUUUGCAACAUUGCCACUCUGGGUAGCUUCCAGCAAAAUAUUAAUAACACAAUAAAACCUCAAAUAUUAAAA
ensembl:lncRNA